rnacentral:lncRNA from 1 species
GUUUUUGUGGGGAGCCUAAUCUGACUGACUUGGUGGUGAGAAAGAACCCAGAGGGUCCCGGCAGAGAGGAGGAUGCGGUUGUAAGAACUUCCCCUGAAGGGGGUGGGGUUUGGAAAGCCAGUGGAAGGACAAAGAAAUGAGGCAUUUUCCAAGUGUUUACAAUAGAGGAAAGUUGGAAGGGAGCUAAAUGGGCGCCAGGAGGAGGAGUGGUUGAGCAAUUUUGGCAUCGCCACUGGGUGUAAUGAUGCAGCCACUCACGGAGGGGAAACAGGGAGGGUUUCGGAGGAGGUCAAGUGCACAUCAGUCCCCACAGGGUCAGCCCUGGUCCAGGCCUCUCACAGCAAGAAGCUCCUUACCCGCGUCGUCAUGUUGAAUCUGCUCCGUGAAAAGUGUCCUUCAAUGCCGGUCUUUGCUGUUGUUCUUGCCUCUCCUUUGAAAAACAACAAGAAGAAAAAUCGGGCUAUCUAGAGCAGCUGUGUCGGAUAGACCUUUCCGGAAUGCUGAAAAUGUCCCCUCUUCCUGCUGUCCGGUGUGGCGGCCCUCAGCCACGUGUGGCUCUUGAGCCCUUGAAAUGCAGCUGGUGUGACUGAGGAGCAGGAUUUCUAUUUUUGUUUCAUUUUAAUCAAUGUAUUUAAAUUUAGAUGGCCUGCGUGCCACUAGGGGCUACCACAUCGGACGGUGGGGAGCUGGCGAGGGGCUGGGUGUUGUUCGUGUCGAGCCGUGUCAUCCCCAGUCUGCUGCCAAGGCCUGUGAUUACUAAGCUUGUGGGUGAGGGAGGAUCUGCGGCAGUUUCCCAGCUGGUCCCCGGCCGGCGGGAUCGGAAUCCCCCGGGAUGGAGUGGGAAUGCCCCUUUCCAACAACUUCCCGAGGAGUCCUGAAGCAACCGGCAGUGGACACCCCUGUGCUGGCUGCUGGCUUCCAGAGGCCCAGGGGCCUCCAACGGGAGAGGAAACCUGAGCGGCGCUUCACCUUGGUCUGGAAAUGGUUAACAAGGCCAGCUUUCCUCCGGGUCCCUGCCGCCCUGGGAACAGACAGAUGGGACGUAAACCCCUUCCCCAUCACAGCCUGGCUGUGUGACCUGGGUCGGUCACUUCACCUCUCUGAACCUCACUGCCCCGGUGGAGGACGAGGCUUAUUAGCAGUGCCGUCCUCAUUGUGAAGGCAGGGCUUUGUAACCCUGAGCCAGGCACAUAAUAAAGUUCAAUAAAUGGAAGCCCCAAAGAAGGGCGGGGUAGCAGGAGCCACAGGCCCAGCUGUGCCGAGCAGAGCGGCAGACACCCUCAAGACAGCCCUCAGCGCCGCUGAGCCUCACACUCACAUUUUCCGGUGAGCCUGGGACUCAGAAAUGGGUCAUAAAAC